CUGGCGGCAGGCUUACACAUGCAAGUCGAACGGUAGCACAGAGGAGCUUGCUCCUUGGGUGACGAGUGGCGGACGGGUGAGUAAUGCUUGGGAAUCUGGCUUAUGGAGGGGGAUAACUACUGGAAACGGUAGCUAAUACCGCGUAAUAUCGAGAGAUUAAAGGGUGGGACUUUCGGGCCACCUGCCAUAAGAUGAGCCCAAGUGGGAUUAGGUAGUUGGUGGGGUAAAGGCCUACCAAGCCUGCGAUCUCUAGCUGGUCUGAGAGGAUGGCCAGCCACACUGGAACUGAGACACGGUCCAGACUCCUACGGGAGGCAGCAGUGGGGAAUAUUGCACAAUGGGGGGAACCCUGAUGCAGCCAUGCCGCGUGAAUGAAGAAGGCCUUCGGGUUGUAAAGUUCUUUCGGUGAUGAGGAAGGUGUUUUGUUUAAUAGACAAAGCAAUUGACGUUAGUCACAGAAGAAGCACCGGCUAACUCCGUGCCAGCAGCCGCGGCAAU
rnacentral:rRNA from 1 species